rnacentral:lncRNA from 1 species
CUGCAGUCCCAGGUGUGAGUGGACAGCUACUCCGCAUUUGAGAGAGAGAGACAUCAAACCAUCAUGAGAGACUUCUAAGGAGGUGUUCAAAGUCCAGUCCAGCAACUGUUAGCUCCUCUUCCUCAUCAAGGGUAUGGAAGGGUUGGAGUCUUAAAGAUCUUUUUUUGGAGAGGGCUCUUAGUGUGUUUUGAGUCUCCCCUCCCCUAGUGACAUGGGACAGGCAUAAAGAGGGAGCUUUUCUCCCUUCUCAAGUUCAGGGAGAGGAGCUUCGGUGGACCCCCAUGGAGAGCAAGAUAUGCUUCCCUUGUGGAUGAAGUCUGCUUAUUCCUGAAAACUAUCUACUUGGCUGAAGACUAGGGCCACUGGCUGUGACUGUGGGGAGAAGAGAGGUAGUUACUGUGGCAGUAACCUCCUCAGAAAUUGGAAUUUUAAUGCUAUUUGACCAGACCAUUGCACUUGCUCAUCCAGAGUUUAUCUAGUUACGGAUGCAGGCGUACUUCCUCUAGCCUGGACGACGUCAGACAAGGAGGAGUCAGAAGAGGGCUGCCUUGAAUUUUGCCCAGGAGAGUCACAAGAGAAGGAUGCCCAGGUGUUACUUCAAUUGCAUAGAGGCUGCGGGGACAGCAGAAAGUGGUCAGCUGUUACCACGUCAAGGGAACUACAAGCAAGAGAUCCAGUGAUGGUGGGAUGCAAAGGGGCUUCAAAGAAUUGACAAAAUUAUAUGACCAUGACCUGGAGGAGCAGAGGAGGCCACCAGCCCAAAAUAGGACCAACUGCCAGCAAAGAUCAGCAGUUGAGGAGGAGAGAUCUUUAACUGCAAAUAAAGUAAAGAUUUCUCAGUGUGGCCAGAUGGUAUUUAAAGAGCCUAAUGAGAAAGAUGCCUUGGCUCCAAGUGGCAAUGUCAAAAGACACAUCGCAGCUGCCCAGUCUCAGAGGUCUGGAAUGAGACCGACACUCCCAAUUACUGCCCAGUGUCGCGUUGUCACUACUGCCUUCUCAGCAUCCUGCCUCCUCAAGCAGUAUUCACGCCUCUCUUCAUCUGUUCAAACGCAUUCAUCCUGUCUGACAUUCGCCCGGUUCCUGCAGUGUCUCCAGGCUCAGGGUACAGCAUGUGCACACUUCAACCUUGGAUGCAAGAGCACAGAUUCUAUCAGUCUUGAUGUAAUGGAAUGUUGGAAAGAAAAACGAGGGAGUAAAUGA